rnacentral:misc_RNA from 1 species
UGGUUCUGGCAUNGAUGAAGAACGCAGCGAAAUGCGAUAAGUAAUGUGAAUUGCAGAAUUCAGUGAAUCAUCGAAUCUUUGAACGCACAUUGCGCCCCCUGGUAUUCCGAGGGGCAUGCCUGUUCGAGCGUCAUUACAACCCUCAAGCACUGCUUGGUAUUGGGCCCCGCUGCCAACACGGCGGGCCUUAAAAUCAGUGGCGGCGCCGCUGGGCUCUGAGCGUAGUAAACUCCCUCGCUACGGAGACCUCGCGGUGGUAGUCAUCAACCCCCAACUUUCUCAAGUUUGACCUCGGAUCAGGUAGGGAUACCCGCUGA